UUUGCUCGCUUCGCACACAUUACUAAAAAUGGAACGAUACAGAGGAAGAAUAGGCAUGGCUCCCUGGCCAAGGAUGACACGCAAAUCUCGUGAAGCGUUCCAUAUUUUG